GCUAGAAUUACAGUAGCUGUCAGUUCGACUCCGGUUCUGGUGCGGGUACUGGGAGAGUAAAGGUCAGUUCUCGGUUAAACAGCGCUGUAGGGCCGGUAAUGCGGGAGGAUACAGGGUGUACCGACUGACCUCUGGAGCAUUUCCGUCUAAAUGAAGUUUUCGUGGUUCCUGGUGUGGAAUACUCAGCCGUAGUUGGUGCGACUGGGCUGUAAAUUCCUCAACUAACGUCCGGGGAUUGAUGAGCACUGACACGGAGAGACAAACCGGUUUUACGGAGUGCUAUUUCAGUACAAAAUGUGCGACUUUCACGCCUGUAGAACACAUUAAGCGUCCCCGUGAACCUGUGGAUCACUUCCUACAGUAACGCUGCGAGUAGAACUUCAGACCAGAACUUUGAGGCGACCGUUGACUUUGACAUGAACGACGGUUACAUUUCCGAUAAAUUUCAAUUUUUUGGAUUCUAAUGCGCGAGCGGCUCUAGAAGCUUCUGUUCGGACUCCGCGCCACGCGCCGCGCUCGUGCUCGCGCUCGUGCUCGUGCUCGUGCUCGUGCUGCUCCACAGGUCUGCAAGUUCUCCCUGAUUAAGUGGCUCCGGACGAACCAUGUCUAACAUCUCAGCGACCGAGAAAGUGGACGGCUUCACCCGCAAAUCGGUGCGCAAGGCGCAGAGGCAGCGGAAGUCUUCGAGCUCGUCCCGGUUUCGGAGCAACAGUUUGUCGGAGGAGCUGUCAGCACUGCCGUCGCUCAGAGAAUCCGGAGCGUCGAGCACAAACGCAACGGGCUCCUUUUUCUUCUUCUUCCUCUUCUUCGGCUGAAUCCUCUUCUUCGCUGCCUGUGUGCUGGGGAAUGCCGGAGAAACACGACGCUACACCGCCACCGCCAGGUCAGCCGCCGUAUAACUAACCAACACCAACAACCCUAAACCACCAGUACCAACAACCUAACUAACCCUAAACUAACCCUGAACACCUAUACCAACACCAACAACCUAACUAACCCUAAACCCCUAUACCAACACCAACAACCUAACUAACCAACACCAACAACCCUAAACCACCAGUACCAACAACCUAACUAACCCUAAACACCUAUACCAGCACCAAAACCCUAAACCACCAACACCAAACCCUAACUAACCCUAAACACCUAUACCAGUAACAAAACCUAACUAACCCUGAACACCUAUACUAACACCAAACCCUAACUAACCCUAAAACCCUAUACCAACACCAACAACCUAACUAACCCUAAACAUCUAUACCAGCACCAACAACCUAACUAACCCUAAACACCUAUACCAGCACCAACAACCUAACUAACCCUAAACACCAACACCAACAAC